AACCUAUGAUGAGGGAACCUUCUCAAUAGAUCCUUGUAUCUCUCCCAUGCAUCAAAUAAUGUCUCUAAAUUGAUCUUGGCAGAGAAAGAAAUGUCAUUCCUCAACUU
rnacentral:snoRNA from 1 species